CCAUUUGUUAGGCUGCAAUUUUGAAUAUUAGCUUUAAAAGAAGUCUUGACCUAUCAGCUCUUCUCGGUGUGAAAUGAAGACUUGGCUAUGGUGACUUCCAAGACUUGGAAAGGGAUAUGAACAAAGGCCUCCCAACAUAAUCCCAAGGAUUAGAAGCCAUGGACCGAAUAUGGGUCAUGGAGCAGUGCUGUCUUGUCCCUAGUUGUCAACACUUUCUCUCCCCUUCAACAGGAGAGAAGAGAAUGAGAGUAAAGGCAUUUUGCUCUUGCUUAAGACGAGACCCACAAGCACCUCUCCUUAGAGUAGACCACAGCAGUUAAACAAGUGUCGGGAUUGAGUCAAAACAGACUGAAAUUAUGUAUCAAGUUACAGAGGAAGCCACAACAGGCAGACGAAUGGGAG